rnacentral:rRNA from 1 species
CUCGUAGGUGGCCAUCUAAGUCAGACGUGAAAUCCCUCGGCUCAACCGGGGAACUGCGUCUGAUACUGGGCGGCUUGAAUUCGGGAGAGGGACGUGGAAUUCCAGGUGUAGCGGUGAAAUGCGUAGAUAUCUGGAGGAACACCGGUGGCGAAGGCGGCGUCCUGGACCGAUAUUGACACUGAGGAGCGAAAGCCAGGGGAGCAAACGG